UACGUAGGGAGCAAGCGUUGUCCGGAAUUACUGGGCGUAAAGAGCUCGUAGGUGGUUUGUCGCGUUGUUCGUGAAAACUCACAGCUUAACUGUGGGCGUGCGGGCGAUACGGGCAGACUGGAGUACUGCAGGGGAGACUGGAAUUCCUGGUGUAGCGGUGGAAUGCGCAGAUAUCAGGAGGAACACCGGUGGCGAAGGCGGGUCUCUGGGCCGAUACUGACGCUGAGGAGCGAAAGCGUGGGGAGCGAACAGG
rnacentral:rRNA from 1 species